UAUAGCCUUACUUUUUUGCUGUUUUUUGCCCACUUAUGAAAAAUGGAAAAAGUCGCUAAAAAUGGAUGAAAAGUUAAUGCUAUAGCCUUACUUUUUUGCUGUUUUUUGCCCACUUAUGAAAAAUGGAAAAAGUUGCUAAAAAUGGACGAAAAGUUAAGGUUAUAGCCUUACUUUUUUGCCCACUUAUGAAAAAUGGAAAAAGUUGCUAAAAAUGGAUGAAAAGUUAAUGCUAUAGCCUUACUUUUUUGCUGUUUUUUGCCCACUUAUGAAAAAUGGAAAAAGUCGCUAAAAAUGGACGAAAAGUUAAUGCUAUAGCCUUACUUUUUUGCCCACUUAUGAAAAAUGGAAAAAGUUGCUAAAAAUGGAUGAAAAGUUAAUGCUAUAGCCUUACUUUUUUGCUGUUUUUUGCCCACUUAUGAAAAAUGGAAAAAGUCACUAAAAAUGGACGAAAAGUUAAUGCUAUAGCCUUACUUUUUUGCUGUUUUUUGCCCACUUAUGAAAAAUGGAAAAAGUUGCUAAAAAUGGAUGAAAAGUUAAUGCUAUAGCGUUACUUUUUUGCUGUUUUUUGCCCACUUAUGAAAAAUGGAAAGUUGCUAAAAAUGGAUGAAAAGUUAAUGCUAUAGCCUUACUUUUUUGCUGUUUUUUGCCCACUUAUGAAAAAUGGAAAAAGUCGCUAAAAAUGGAUGAAAAGUUAAUGCUAUAGCC